rnacentral:misc_RNA from 1 species
GGUCUACAUGGGAAGGAACUAAAACCAUCCAGAGAACAUAAUCUAACUUUCAAUUUCAUAGCUCGUAAUUAGAAAUGCUUGAAAGCAUAACUGAUUCCAAGACUGCAUUUAAUCCAAUCAGUGAGUCUAGUCACCAAUAAAGGUGAAUGAACAUUGUAUUUAUCGCACAUUAAAAUCACAUUAACCUUUUUAAGCCAAAUGUGUAAGACCAGAAACAAGGAACCUAGACAAAAGCAAUCAUCCAAGACAACAGGUUUUAG